rnacentral:rRNA from 1 species
UACGUAGGGGGCAAGCGUUGUCCGGAUUUAUUGGGCGUAAAGAGCGUGUAGGCGGCUUUACAGGUCCGUUGUGAAAACUCGAGGCUCAACCUCGAGACGCCGGUGGAAACCGUAAAGCUAGAGUCCGGAAGAGGAGAGUGGAAUUCCUGGUGUAGCGGUGAAAUGUGUAGAGAUCGGGAGGAACACCGGUGGCGAAGGCGGGUCUCUGGGCCGAUAUUGACGCUGAGGAGCGAAAGCGUGGGGAGCGAACAGG